CUUGCUUGGCCAGAUUUUUCACAGUAUAACUAUGCGGUUUUAAAUAAAAUAUUGUUGCCUACAUAUUCUGUCCAAUAAAAAAGCCAGAUAUUUAAAUUCACUCCCAUAGACAACUGAGUCAUUUGAUACAAAGAGCAAAUUAAUAGUUUUUUGAAGCGGAUGUUUCUAACCCCUUUAUCUCUGCUUCUGCUUAAUUUCUACUGAUAUUGUACAGGCUACGAGGGAGGAUAUAUGGAAUUGGAAGACGAUAAAUCUAAAAAUAUCUGAGAGAAAAUUGAGUUGAUGUCUGUGUGUACUGGGAUUAUGACAGAAGAACAUGUUUCUGUACAUUCAUUCAGUGAAUAGGAGUCUCUUCCCACUGUUACAUCAGCUUCACCAGGUCUUUUCCUCAUAUUGAUUUCUUCUGCCAGUUUGCUUGUAGUGCCACCCACCUCACCCCCAAAAUUUGGAAAACUGUCAUAUUACUUAAGGCAUUUCUCAUUGUGAUGUUGUACACGUGUCUUGUUCAUUUGACAGUGCUUGCACAGUCCUGUACAUUGUAUCAAGAAUAGAAGCAAUAGGUAAUUUUGGUAAAGCUCAAAUAUAUUUUGAAGUAUGUUAUAGAGCAUUUCGUAACGUAUAAGGUUACAAAAGAAUAACUUAAAUAUUUUACAUUCUUAUGUCUUUGAACAUGGUAAUAUAUGUUAAGUGAAAUACCAUUUGCCUCUGGAUGUUUAAACUGCAAAGAUUUAAACUGAGAUAGCUGAGAGAGGUUUUUGUCUGCCGUACCCAUUUGUUGGUUUGUUUGGUGGAAGGACUAUUAUAUAGUAAAUAGUAAAUCAUUUAGCAUUGUAUAAGAUUAUGCUUGCAAAAUUGAAAUGUUACUUCCAAGUUUCCUUUAGUACCAAAAGGUAAAAUAACAAAAACACCGAAUUUAGAGUAAACUCACAACCCCCUGACCUACAUUGUGAGCCUUGCAGUAACUGAGCACAGGAAUAACAACAACAAAAAAGUCUCUUCCUAAUCUUCAUGAUAGCUACACUGAAAUUAAGAACUCUAAACAUUGUCGAGCUUUGGUGAU